UUUUUCUUAAAAAAGCACCUUUGCUUUUGCCGCAAAGGCAAAAGUCAGGGCAAAAGUAAAAA
rnacentral:tRNA from 1 species